UUACAAAGUUUUAGGUUGUCACUGAAGUAGCAAUCAAAAGCCUGUACAUAAGUGCUGGUGCCGCUGUACAACAUUCACCGUUCACCUGAUAUGUUCACAGAGUAACAGCAGCCAUGAAGCUGUUGAAGAUAUUUUUCAACACAUUCGCAGUCCUCCAGUUCAUUCUGCAUCAGACUGAAUCAAUGGCACCCAUCCAAAGUGAGGACGCACAGGUGCCUUCGUGUGUUAAGAUUAAAGAACAAAUAAAAGCAUUCGAAGGUGCUGGAUGGAGUGAAUGGGCCUCAUCAGAUUCAUGUUCACCUACUUUGGGAUCCGGAAGAUUCGUGUUCAGGAAGCUUUGCUGCGAAGGUGACAAGUAUGACUGUAAAACAGUAAAUGGUGGUCUUCGCAUAUAUGAAACACAGUCAGAACCUUUUGUGAUAACUGAUGAAUGCCAAAAAACAGCUGAUGAAGUUUACUCUCCUUGGAGUGUUUGGAGCGUUUGGGGUGAUUGUCCUGAGGGGUGUGGAGAAUCGACAACGAAGACCAUAAGGAGAACGAGAACCUGCACACGUACCAACGGAGGCCUCGGCGAAUGCCUUUCACCCUUAACUGAAACUCAAACACAAUGCUGUUGCUUGAAUGGAUGUCCAGUUAAUGGAGGCUACACUCAUUGGAGCGACUGGUCCCUGGUCCCUUGCAAUGAGACAUGCGAAGCUAAUGUCCCCUUAGUCAGGACUAGGUUCAGAUCCUGCACGAACCCAGUACCCAAUCAUGGAGGAAGAUCCUGUACAGGGCCAUCUUUUGAAACAAGCCUUGGUAGUCUUGACGCAUGCCCAGUUGAUGGAGUUUUGUCAAUAUGGACCGCUUGGACCAAUCCUCCAUGUUCUGUGUCAUGUGGAGCAUCGGCAACAAAGAUGAGAGUCAAGACGAGGACAUGCACGCCUCCCCAGAAUGGUGGGAAGGAAUGUACAGGGAAUUUAAAUGAAGCUUUUCAAGUUUACUGUGGCCUAAAUGACUGUCCAGUUGAUGGAGGCUAUGCUGCCUGGAGUCAGUGGUCCCUGGUUCCCUGCUCUGCAACAUGCGGAAUUAAUGCCACAACAGUCCGGACACGGUCAAGGACCUGCACCAACCCAGUGCCAAAUCAUGGAGGAGCACCCUGUUCAGGUCCCUCUUUUGAAAGAAGCUCUUUCACUUGUGGUCUUAACUCAUGUCCAGUUGAUGGCGUUAUCUCUAUUUGGAGUGUUUGGAGCAAUCCUCCAUGUUCUGUGACGUGUGGAGCAUCAGCAACAAAGACCAGAAGUAGGACGAGAACAUGUACACCUCCCCAGAACGGCGGAGAGGACUGUUCCGGAAAUUUGACUGAAACUCUAAGCCAGAACUGUUUCUUGUGUGAAUGUCCAGUUGAUGGAAGCUAUGCUGCCUGGAGUCAGUGGUCCCUGGUUCCCUGCUCUGCAACAUGCGGAAUUAAUGCCACAACAGUCCGUACACGGUCAAGGACCUGCACCAACCCAGUGCCAAAUCAUGGAGGAGCACCCUGUUCAGGACCAACUUUUGAUACAAGCACUUUCACUUGUGGUCUUAACUCAUGUCGAGUUGAUGGAGGCUAUGCUGCCUGGAGUGAUUGGUCCCUGGUUCCCUGCUCUGCAACAUGCGGAAUUAAUGCCACAACAGUCCGGACACGGUCAAGGACCUGCACCAACCCAGUGCCAAAUCAUGGAGGAGCACCCUGUUCAGGUCCCUCUUUUGAAAGAAGCUCUUUCACUUGUGGUCUUAACUCAUGUCCAGUUGAUGGCGUUAUCUCUAUUUGGAGUGUUUGGAGCAAUCCUCCAUGUUCUGUGACGUGUGGAGCAUCAGCAACAAAGACCAGCAUUAGGACGAGAACAUGUACACCUCCCCAGAACGGCGGAGAGGACUGUUCCGGAAAUUUGACUGAAACUCUAAGCCAGAACUGUUUCUUGUGUGAAUGUCCAGUUGAUGGAAGCUAUGCUGCCUGGAGUCAGUGGUCCCUGGUUCUCUGCUCUGCAACAUGCGGAAUUAAUGCCACAACAGUCCGUACACGGUCAAGGACCUGCACCAACCCAGUGCCAAAUCAUGGAGGAGCACCCUGUUCAGGACCAACUUUUGAUACAAGCACUUUCACUUGUGGUCUUAACUCAUGUCGAGUUGAUGGAGGCUAUGCUGCCUGGAGUCAGUGGUCCCUGGUUCCCUGCUCUGCAACAUGCGGAAUUAAUGCCACAACAGUCCGUACACGGUCAAGGACCUGCACCAACCCAGUGCCAAAUCAUGGGGGAGCACCCUGUCCAGGUCCCUCUUUUGAUACAAGCACUUUCCCUUGUGGUCUUAACUCAUGUCGAGUUGAUGGAGGUUAUGCUGCCUGGAGUGAGUGGUCCCCGUUUCCCUGCUCUGCAACAUGCGGAAUUAAUGUCACAUCAGUUCGGACACGGUCAAGGACCUGCACCAACCCAGUGCCAAAUCAUGGGGGAGCACCCUGUUCAGGUCCCUCUUUUGAAAGAAGCUCUUUCCCUUGUGGUCUUAACUCAUGUCCAGUUGAUGGAGUUGUCUCUACUUGGAGUGUUUGGAGCAAUGCUCCAUGUUCUGUGACGUGUGGAGUAUCAGCAACAAAGACCAGAAGUAGGACGAGAACAUGUACACCUCCCCAGAAUGGCGGAGAGGACUGUUCCGGAGAUUUGACUGAAACGCUCAGGCAGAACUGUUUCUUAUGGGAAUGCCCAGUUGAUGGAGGCUAUGCUGCCUGGAGUCAGUGGUCCCUGGUUCCCUGCUCUGCAACAUGCGGAAUUAAUGCCACAACAGUCCGUACACGGUCAAGGACCUGCACCAACCCAGUGCCAAAUCAUGGAGGAGCACCCUGUUCAGGACCCUCUUUUGAUACAAGCACUUUACCUUGUGGUCUUAAUUCAUGUCGAGUUGAUGGAGGUUAUGCUGCCUGGAGUGAGUGGUCCCCGUUUCCCUGCUCUGAAACAUGCGGAAUUAAUGUCACAUCAGUUCGGACACGGACAAGGACCUGCACCAACCCAGUGCCAAAUCAUGGGGGAGCACCCUGUUCAGGUCCCUCUUUUGAAAGAAGCUCUUUCCCUUGUGGUCUUAACUCAUGUCCAGUUGAUGGAGUUGUCUCUACUUGGACUUCUUGGAGCAAUCCUCCAUGUUCUGUGACGUGUGGAGCAUCAGCAACAAAGACCAGAAGUAGGACGAGAACAUGUACACCUCCCACGAAUGGCGGACGGGACUGUUCCGGAGAUUUGACUGAAACGCUCAGGCAGAACUGUUUCUUAUGGGAAUGCCCAGUUGAUGGAGGCUAUGCUGCCUGGAGUGCGUGGUCCCUGGUUCCCUGCUCUGCAACAUGCGGAAUUAAUGCCACAACAGUCAGGACACGGUCAAGGACCUGCACCAACCCAGUACCACAGUAUGGAGGAGCACUUUGCCAAGGUUUAUCAUUUGAAACGGGUCAAGUCGCUUGUACACCGGAACCCUCGUCAGGUAUAAAUAUUUAUAAAUAUAGAAAACUCACUUUACUCCAAGACAUAAAGCAACACUAAACUUCAUCAGUAUAAAAUAAGGACUUAAAUGUCCCAGUGGAGAAUGUAAGACAGCUAAGCAUGUACAUAAUGUCCUACGAUGGUGAUACAGUAACACGUACAGCUCUCGUCAAUGUUUCCUUUCAUUUUUACAAUGUAUUAUCUGCUUCAUACGUUUCGCCUAUUGUUCAUACGUUCGUAUGCCUUCCUAUUGAAAACCAAGGUGGACAGUGAGAAAGGUGUGAGUGGUUGUUGUGGUGUAUGAAUGAACAUGGAUAUUCCUAUUCUUCUUUGAAAUGCUUCAUUUUCUAUCUCACUAACCUGUGCUUGAUUUGCAAAUUGUACAUAUGUUUUUAAUUAAACAACACAACCUGGCAUCCUAGUAUCUUCCAAUUGGUAAGUACAUUAUAAUCUUUAAACAUAGAUGCUUACGUCAACUUGUGAACAAGUCAAGCAACUGCAAAACAGUACAAUCAACAUAUGAUCGAUAUUACUUUGCCACAAAUGAAAUAUGAUUUAAAGGAAACUCGUCGGAAUUAAAUUUAAUGCGUCCAGAAUGUUUCGUUGUGAUGCGUUCUAUAGGUAGUUCGGGUGUAACGUAUCAGGUGAACCGUAUCAGGUGAAACGUAUCCUUAACAAUUGCUCCUGGUAUCAACUUUUCCGUUUUGUGUUUCCGGGGCUGGCGCUUUCUGGUCUGGACGAUAUCCGAAGGAAAGCAGGCACAAGAGACGACAGCAACAUCACGUGGACAUAUAUUUCAUCUCAAGUCAACCAUUCCUGACAUUUAGAGAUGUAUACAAGUCGUGUUAUAAACUUCGGACUCCCCCAACAGAGCUUUCUUUACACACAGAACAUCGCAACUGUAAUCAGACGUCAGGGAAUGAAUACCAUGAGCCUUUAUUAAGUACCUGCUUGAUCGAUUGAGCUUCAACUCGUAUGUGAGUAUCUGUCCACAAGGGGUUAAAGUGUGGUCUACGUGAAACGUGAAAAUGUCUUCUUUGACAUUGUGUCAGAAACCAAAAGGAACAAGAAACUACAGACAGGGAACUGAUCACUGAAAACAGAAAUCAGCUUGGUCUACAAUGACAUUCUGUCAAACAAUUACAUAUAUCACAGGAAUGAUAUUCUCACUGGAAUAAUGCAUAUAGUUUACAUUACAUUGAUAUUCCAAUUGAGACUUUAACAAACGGCUAUUUCUGUAACAAGGAAAAGACAAUA
rnacentral:misc_RNA from 1 species